rnacentral:rRNA from 1 species
GUCCACGCUGUAAACGUUGCGAACUAGGUGUCGGGGGUAUUCACCCCUCCGGUGCCGAAGCUAACGUCUUAAGUUCGCCGCCUGGGAAGUACGGCCGCAAGGCUAAAACUCAAAGGAAUUGACGGGGGCCCGCACAAGCGGUGGAGCAUGUGGUUCAAUUCGAUGCAACGCGAAGAACCUUACCUGGGCUUGACAUCCGGAGAAUCCCUCAGAAAUGAGGGAGUGCCCGUAAGGGAACUCCGAGACAGGUGCUGCAUGGCUGUCGU